rnacentral:lncRNA from 1 species
CGGGACUGGGCGCCGUGGAGCAGGGGGCGGCGCUCAUUGGGGAGGCUCGGGCCGCACAGGUGCCCAUGGAGGGAGUGAGAGGCUCAGGCAUGGCGGACUGCAGGUCCCGAGACCUGCCCGCGGGAAGGCAGCUAAGGCCAGAUCUGUUUUGUGGAAAGGAAAGGAGUGGCUCUACUGAACAUCUGUGAUACCCAGCUGCACAUUGGCAUUUGGGCUCAAUUCCCUUCCAAGAUGGCCGAAUAGGAAGAGCUCCGGUCUGAAACUCCCAGCGUGAUCGACACAGAAGAUGGAGGAUUUCUGCAUUUCCAACUGAG